rnacentral:rRNA from 1 species
GUAGCAAUACAACUAGUGGCGGACGGGUGAGGAAUACAUAGGAAUUUGCCUUUAGGUGGGGGAUAGUCCGGGGAAACUCGGUUUAAUACCGCAUGAUGUCGCAAGACCAAAGCAGGGGAUCGUAAGACCUUGCGCCUUUAGAGAAGCCUAUGUCGGAUUAGCUAGUUGGUAGGGUAAUGGCCUACCAAGGCGACGAUCCGUAACUGGUCUGAGAGGACGAUCAGUCACGCCGGAACUGAGACACGGUCCGGACUCCUACGGGAGGCAGCAGUGGGGAAUAUUGGACAAUGGGCGAAAGCCUGAUCCAGCAAUGCCGCGUGUGUGAAGAAGGCCUUCGGGUUGUAAAGCACUUUAGGCUGGGAAGAAAAAGCUUCACCUAAUACGUGAAGCCUUGACGGUACCAGCGGAAUAAGCACCGGCUAACUCUGUGCCAGCAGCCGCGGUAAUACAGAGGGUGCUAGCGUUAAUCGGAUUUACUGGGCGUAAAGCGUGUGUAGGCGGUUCGUUAAGUCGGAUGUGAAAGCCCUGGGCUCAACCUAGGAAUUGCAUUCGAUACUGGCGGGCUAGAGUACGGUAGAGGGCGGCGGAAUUCCGGGUGUAGCGGUGAAAUGCGUAGAUAUCCGGAGGAACACCGAUGGCGAAGGCAACCGCCUGGGCCUGUACUGACGCUG